rnacentral:rRNA from 1 species
CUGCUAUCGGUGUUCGCCUAAGCCAUGCGAGUCAUAUGUAGCAAUACAUGGCGUACUGCUCAGUAACACGUGGAUAACCUGCCCUUGGGACCGGCAUAACCCCGGGAAACUGGGGAUAAUUCCGGAUAACGCAUAUUUGCUGGAAUGCUUUAUGCGUCAAAAGGAUUCGUCUGCCCAAGGAUGGGUCUGCGGCCUAUCAGGUAGUAGUGGGUGUAAUGUACCUACUAGCCAGCGACGGGUACGGGUUGUGAGAGCAAGAGCCCGGAGAUGGAUUCUGAGACAUGAAUCCAGGCCCUACGGGGCGCAGCAGGCGCGAAAACUUUACAAUGCGGGAAACCGUGAUAAGGGGACACCGAGUGCCAGCAUCAUAUGCUGGCUGUCCGGAUGUGUAAAAUACAUCCGUUAGCAAGGGCCGGGCAAGACCGGUGCCAGCCGCCGCGGUAACACCGGCGGCCCGAGUGGUGAUCGUGAUUGUUGGGUCUAAAGGGUCCGUAGCCGGUUUGG